rnacentral:misc_RNA from 1 species
CGCCUCCAUGGACCUUGGAUCUGCGGUGGAUGGGCGGGCAACGAGUACUGAGACGGAUGCUGACGACGAGCCGCUAUCGCCGUCGUUCGGGCUCGGCCCGAAGC